AGAACUGGGAAGCCUUGAAGCACUUUAGGUGGAAGUGACUGUGUGUAUGUGUGUGGGAUGUGGUGGUGAAUGUGGGGAUAACCUGAUUCGCAUUUUAAAGGUAUCACUUUGAUGACAGUGGAGUGUAGACUGGGGGCAGAUGAAGAUGGAUGUCAUGUUAACAGGAGAUUGCUGAGUAUUAGGCUGAAGGUAUCCAAGUGGAAGAGACAUGAUGAGACUCUCAGGCCACU
rnacentral:lncRNA from 1 species